rnacentral:misc_RNA from 1 species
CUCCGGCCUUGGGCGGC